rnacentral:rRNA from 1 species
AUUGAACGCUGGCGGCAGGCCUAACACAUGCAAGUCGAGCGGAUGAAGCGAGCUUGCUCCUGGAUUCAGCGGCGGACGGGUGUGUAAUGCCUAGGAAUCUGCCUGGUUGUGGGGUAUAACGUCCGGAAAAGGGCGCUAAUACCGCAUACGUCCUGCGGGAGAAGGUGGGGGAUCUUCGGACCUCACGCUAUCAGAUGAGCCUAGGUCGGAUUAGCUAGUUGGUGGGGUAAGUGCCUACCUAGGCGACGAUUGGUAAGUGGUCUGAGUGGCUGAUCAGUCACACGGGAAGUGAGACACGGUCCAGACGACUACGGGAGGCAGCAGUGUGCAAUGUGAGACAAUGGGGGAGAGCCUGGCCCAGCCGUGCCACGUGUGUGACGACGGUCUUCGGAUUGUAAAGCACUUUUACUUGGGAUAAAGGGCAGUAAGCUAAGACCUUGCGGUUUUGACGUUACCAGCAGAAGAAGCACCGGCUAACUACGUG